ensembl:lncRNA
GGAGGAGGGAGAGAGGAGGGGAUAUCAGGAGGAGGGAGAGAGGAGGGGAUAUCAGGAGGAGGGAGAGAGGAGGGGAUAUCAGGAGGAGGGAGAGAGGAAAGGUGGGGAUAUCAGGAGGAGGGAGAGAGGAGGGGAUAUCAGGAGGAGGGAGAGAGGAGGGGAUAUCAGGAGGAGGGAGAGAGGAAAGGUGGGGAUAUCAGGAGGAGGGAGGGAGGAAAGGAGGGGAUAUCAGGAGGAGGGAGAGAGGAGGGGAUAUCAGGAGGAGGGAGAGAGGAAAGGUGGGGAUAUCAGGAGGAGGGAGAGAGGAGGGGAUAUCAGGAGGAGGGAGAGAGGAAAGGUGGGGAUAUCAGGAGGAGGGAGAGAGGAGGGGAUAUCAGGAGGAGGGAGAGAGGAGGGGAUAUCAGGAGGAGGGAGAGAGGAGGGGAUAUCAGGAGGAGGGAGAGAGGAAAGGAGGGGAUAUCAGGAGGAGGGAGAGAGGAGGGGAUAUCAGGAGGAGGGAGAGAGGAGGGGAUAUCAGGAGGGAGAGAGGAAAGGUGGGGAUAUCAGGAGGAGGGAGAGAGGAGGGGAUAUCAGGAGGAGGGAGAGAGGAAAGGAGAGGAUAUCAGGAGGAGGGAGAGAGGAGGGGAUAUCAGGAGGAGGGAGAGAGGAGGGGAUAUCAGGAGGAGGGAGAGAGGAAAGGUGGGGAUAUCAGGAGGAGGGAGGGAGGAAAGGUGGGGAUAUCAGGAGGAGGGAGAGAGGAAAGGUGGG